AUUGAACGCUGGCGGGAGGCUUAACACAUGCAAGUCGAACGAGUGGCGGACGGGUGAGUAAUGUAUGGGAAAGUGCCCGAUGGAGGGGGAUAACUACUGGAAAGUGUAGCUGAUACCGCAUACUAUCAGACAGGCCUAUAUGGGAUUAGCUAGUAGGGGGGGUAAAGGCUCACAAAGGCGAAGAUCCCUAGCUGGUCUGAGAGGAUGACCAGCCACACUGGGACUGAGACACGGUCCAGACUCCUACGGGAGGCAGCAGUGGGGAAUAUUGCACAAUGGGCGCAAGCCUGAUGCAGCCAUGCCGCGUGUAUGAAGAAGGCCUUCGGGUUGUAAAGCACUUUCAGCAGGGAGGCGUUACCCGCAGAAGAAGCACCGGCUAACUCCGUGCCAGCAGCCGCGGUAAUAC
rnacentral:rRNA from 1 species